rnacentral:rRNA from 1 species
CGAACGGGUGAGUAACACGUGAGCAACCUGCCCCGAAGACCGGGAUAACAGCGGGAAACCGCUGCUAAUACCGGAUGCCCCCACCGGGCUGCAUGGUCUGGUGAGGAAACGAAUUUUGCUUCGGGAGGGGCUCGCGGCCUAUCAGCUUGUUGGUGGGGUAAUGGCCCACCAAGGCGACAACGGGUAGCUGGUCUGAGAGGACGAUCAGCCACACUGGGACUGAGACACGGCCCAG